AGCUGUAAAUUCCCUGGUGGUCUAGGAUUGAUGGAGGGGUUAGCUGUAAAUUCCCUGGUGGUCUAGGAUUGAUGGAGGGGCUAGCUGUACGAUUGGUACACGACAGCAGAGACCGUCAUAACAAUGUUUAUAAGAAACAACAAUAUUUACACCGUAUAAAAGAGCAGAGAAGCCCCUCCCUGAGAGAUAAAGUGCAGCAGAAAAUGUCACACAUCUCCGCCUGUACCUCCUGCACCACAGAGCGUCACCUGUACUGUCCUGUUCACACAGCGUCACCUGUACUGUCCCCACCACACAGCGUCACCUGUACUGUCCCCACCGUCACCUGUACUGUCCUGUUUACACAGCGUCACCCGCACUGUCCCCACCACGUAGCGUCAC